GAUGAACGCUGGCGGCGUGCCUAAUACAUGCAAGUCGAGCGAACAGACGAGGAGCUUGCUCCUCUGACGUUAGCGGCGGACGGGUGAGUAACACGUGGAUAACCUACCUAUAAGACUGGGAUAACUUCGGGAAACCGGAGCUAAUACCGGAUAAUAUAUUGAACCGCAUGGUUCAAUGGUGAAAGACGGUUUUGCUGUCACUUAUAGAUGGAUCCGCGCCGCAUUAGCUAGUUGGUAAGGUAACGGCUUACCAAGGCAACGAUGCGUAGCCGACCUGAGAGGGUGAUCGGCCACACUGGAACUGAGACACGGUCCAGACUCCUACGGGAGGCAGCAGUAGGGAAUCUUCCGCAAUGGGCGAAAGCCUGACGGAGCAACGCCGCGUGAGGGAGGAAGGUCUUCGGAUCGUAAAACUCUGUUAUUAGGGAAGAACAAAUGUGUAAGUAACUAGGCACGUCUUGACGGUACCUAAGCAGAAAGCCACGGCUAACUAAGUG
rnacentral:rRNA from 1 species